rnacentral:rRNA from 1 species
UACGUAGGCAGCGAGCGUUGUUCGGAGUUACUGGGCGUAAAGGGUGCGUAGGCGGCCUAAUAAGUCAGUGGUGAAAGCCUCCAGCUUAACUGGAGAACUGCCAUUGAUACUGUUAGGCUUGAGUAUACUUGAGGUAGGCGGAAUUGACAGUGUAGCGGUGAAAUGCAUAGAUAUUGUCAAGAACACCAAUUGCGAAGGCAGCUUACUAAAUUAUAACUGACGCUGAGGCACGAAAGUGUGGGUAUCAAACAGG